AGAGUACACAACGGCAAGCAUAAGCCUAGAGAUUGCAAGCACAUUUAAAAAAGAAAAAAACCUCAUUCCUUCGCGGAUUUCCAAGGAGAAAGAGGCCUCCCCUGCCAAAUAGAUGAGACCGCUGAUAGCUUAAUUAGAUGACCAGAGAUACUGAGAGCGGAUGCCAGCAUCAGGUCUAACAGGGAUUAUGGUGUCCACAGGAAGAUGGAAAGAUGUAGACCUGGGCCAGUGGGUCCCCAAUGUUUUCUGCUUCCUGUGGGGGCCACUAAUACAGAAGCAAACCAGACAGUUAUGGAGGUGCAGAUGACAGACUCAAUAAUUCCUCUGGAGAACUCAAACUUCGAA